rnacentral:lncRNA from 1 species
CAGCGCCAAGCCUUCCAAUCCAUCACUCUGCCCUUUCCAUAGAGUCUGAUCAUCUCUGGAGCUCAUUCUCCACCUUGUCUGGCUGGGAUUUCAUGGUCCACCACAGCAACUCUCACCGUGCUGAGAUCAUCAAGAACAGAAAUCAUCCUAAUUUUUUAUACCUGGCACCAACAUUGUACUGGCACAAAAGAGGUAAUUUUACAUCUAACACGAAGAGGGUGUCUGAACGAUAACAAACAGCUGGAGAAGAGAAAAAUGGCCAAGUCACUCCACAGUGGAGCAUCCUAAUGACAAAGCCGAUCUCCAAAACAGAUUGUAGACUUUGCUUGAGAAGAUGCUGCUGCACUCAACUGAAUGAUUUUCUUUCUUUGUUUCAUUUCAUUCAAAGGUAGUGAUAAAGACCUCCUCAAUUCAUCCCCUACCCAAACUCUGUCCUUCUGUAACACGCAGAUUCACCUAACACAGGCUGUGGACAAACACCUGGC